rnacentral:rRNA from 1 species
CCGACCUCGGGAGUACGACGCAACGGUUGAAACGUCAAGAAGUUAUACGGGACCGCGACAAGCGGUGAGCGAUGUGGUUAAUUCGAUGAUACGCGAGGACUUACCCGGUUGUAACGCAGGGACCGGUCAGGAACUGACGUUCUAGCAUAGCGCUUGCGAGGUGCUGCAUGGUUGUCGUCAGCUCGUGCCGUGAGGUGUCGGCUUAAGUGCCAUAACGAGCGCAACCCUUGCCGUUAGUUACUAACAAGUAAAGUUGAGGACUCUAGCGGGACUGCCAGCGUAAGCUGUGAGGAAGGCGGGGAUGACGUCAAAUCAGCACGGCCCUUACAUCCGGGGCGACACACGUGUUACAAUGGCGUGGACAAAGAGUUGCGACCUGGCGACAGGGAGCUAAUCUCGAAACCACGUCUCAGUUCGGAUCGGAGUCUGCAACUCGACUCCGUGAAGCUGGAUUCGCUAGUAAUCGCGCAUCAGCCAUGGCGCGGUGAAUACAUUCCCGGGCCUUGUACACACCGCCGGUCGACGCGGCC